AAAAAUACUGUGAUUAGGAGUAGUAAGCUGUCUGAAACAUGCAGAGAGCCGGCGAGUGGUGAAAGCCGGUUGGGGAUGUCAGCUGAACUGGCCUUUGAGUAGCGUGCUGAAGGAAGCUCUGUUUCUGAGUAGGCAUUGCCGGUGUCCCGACCGUUACAGCGGGGGGAUAUGUUUUUCUAUAUCCAGUGAGAGCAUACGAAACUUGUAUGAAAUAGAGUGGUACCACGCGGUAGAUUCUGCGUCUCUAUG
rnacentral:ncRNA from 1 species